GGCGAGGGAGCUCGGAAGCUGCAGUGCUUUCACGUUCUCCGGGCCCGGGGCACAUGCUCUUCAGCCUGGGAGCGUCCCCUUCCUCUCUAGGCUGAAGGUCUUCAGGGCGGUGUCAGCAAGUUAGAGAGUUUGAUGAUCAUUAUUAUUCUUCAUCAGUAUCAAAUAUUGACGCUGAUUUUAGCCUUCAGACCUUUUUUUGUUUGCACCAAGUUGCAAAAGAAAGCAGACAUUAUUCUGCGUUCAUUAAAAAGAGCCUUGCGUUUUCCUCCGUGAAUUUCACAGUUAGCGCCAUGUGAAAGCGCCUCAUAACUACUAAACACACAGAGCCAGCGCCAUCCAUUCAAGAGCACGCAGGUUCCUGCCAAGCAAAGGCGGACUGAUCAGAGCUGGGAACGCCCUCCCUCCACGCCCCCAUCCCAGCAGCGCCAUCUGCAGCGGGCGGCUGGACGCCCUCCACGCACUCACCACUUCCUUUGGAACUUUUAUGGGCCUGCUUUUGAAACCAUACUCAUUCCAUAUGCAAAGGCUUGGAUACAUAUGCACACCAACAGCCCGUAUGCAUGCAAAAUGUGCAGAUGGGCAAAGGAAAUGAAGC
rnacentral:lncRNA from 1 species